GAAAUGCGAUAAGUAGUGUGAAUUGCAGAAUUCAGUGAAUCAUCGAAUCUUUGAACGCACAUUGCGCCCCUUGGUAUUCCAUGGGGCAUGCCUGUUCGAGCGUCAUUUCAACCCUCAGAACCCCUUGCGGGAUCUGGCGUUGGGGAUUGGCAUCCAGCCAGCCCCGAAAUCUAGUGGCGGUCCCUCCGCGACCUCCCCUGUGCAGUAGCGAUACCUCGCAGCGGGACAGCGGUCUGACCACGCCGUAAAACCCCCAACUUCUCAAGGUUGACCUCGAAUCAGGUAGGAAUACCCGCUGAACUUAAGC
rnacentral:misc_RNA from 1 species